UUCAGCGGGACAUCCUGCACUCCUCUCCCAGUUCAGAGGGGUUCUCAGCGGAAGAAACACCUCGAGAGGAGAGUCCAGUUCAAAAUACAAAGUUCCCACAUAUACCACGACCAUCUAUCAUCAGAUCACCACAGGAACAGGCGUGUCCUCUCCAGGAAGUGCAUGCAGACUGCAAAGAUUAUAUAGAGACAGAGGAUGGACCGUUAUCAGGUGUUCAGUGGGGCUCUGUACAGGUCUCUCCAACCUUGGAGUCUUCACGGGCCUCACUUUGAGCACAGGGGCAUUGUCAUGAUGUUUGGGCCUCCUUGUUGCAGUGAAGGGAAAUCUAAAAGUUCCAGCAUACAAAGAAAU
ensembl:lncRNA